UUAUAUCACCUGGGAAAGACGAAUAUGGUCGCCGACGCUUUGAAUCGGAAAUCUUCAGUUGCACAUAUGCUGGUUAAAGAGUGGAAUUUACUCUAGAGAGCUCGAGAUUCAGUUUUUAAAUUUGAGGUAGGCCAUAAUUCAAAUCUAAUGGCCACCCUCAGAAUUGAGCCGGAUGUUCAAAUGAAGAUCAAGUUACUUUAGCCGACAAACCAGAUGUUCAGAAGAUUCUGCAAGAGGAUACCAAUAAAAGGAAGGCUAAUUAUCAGAUUUCUGAUGAUGGAACACUGAGGUUCCGGGGACGAUUGUGUGUACCUGACAAUGCUGAGCUUAGAGAGGUGAUCUUAAUAGAAGCUCAUUGUAGUAGUUACAGCAUUCAUCCUGAUAGUAUGAAGAUGUAUCAGAAUCUGCGUCAACACUACUGGUGGUCUAGUAUAAAGGCGAACUUCACCAAGCAUGUCGCCAAGUAUCGAAUGUGUCAGCAAGUGAAGGCACAACAUUGUAAGUCAGGAGGACUUCUGCAACCUCUCGAGAUCCCAGAGUGGAAAUGGGAGAACAUCACGAUGGAUUUUGUGACAAGCUUACCAAGGAGUCAGAGAGGUAAUGAUUCUAUUUUGGUAGUGGUCGACAGAUUGACAAAGUCGACUCAUUUCAUUGUAGUACGAAAGGACCUUGAUUUAGAUAGGCACACAGAGUUGUGCGUGCAUCAAAUUGUUCGUCUGUAUGGAGUGCUGGUGAUGAUAACUUCAAACUGAGACCCAAGAUUUACAGCUGUUUUUUUGAAGAGUUUGCAGGCUACCUUAGGAACGAAGUUGCAGUAUAGUAUGGCAUAUCAUCCUCAAAGGGAUGGCCAGUGUGAGAGGACAAUUCAAACCCUUGAAGACAUGCUGCGAGCUUGCAUGUUGGAUUUCAAGGGAAAAUGGGAGGAACAGCUUCAUCUUGUCGAGUUUGCCAACAACAAUAGCUACCAGCAAAGCAUCCAAAUGGCUCCUUUUGAAGCGUUGUACAGUAGAGCGUGCAAAACGCCAGUGUGUUGAGAUGAAGUCGGGGAAAGAAAGAUCACAAGCCCAUAGUUGAUUUAGCAGUCAGUGGAUGCAGUUGUAGUCAUCAGAGGCAGACUAAAGACAGCUCGGAGCGAUCAGAAAAGUUAUGCAAAUAAGCGUUGAAGACCUUUGGAAUUCCAAGUUGGUGAUCACGUUUUUCUGAAGGUGUUGCCAAUGAGAGGUACUUCGCGCUUUGGCAAGAAGGGAAAAGUAAGUUCGAGAUACGUAGGUCCCUUUGAGAUUCUAGAGAGCAUCGGGAUCCUAAUGUAUCGUCUUGCAUUACCGCCGAGACUGACACAAGUGCAUGACGUCUUUCAAGUGUCGAUGUUGAGGAAGUAUGAGCCUGACAUGACCCACGUGCUUAAUUUCGAAGAAUUGGACAUGGAUGAUAGAGUGUCGUACGUUGAAAACUCGGUUCAAAUUGUGGAUCGGAAAGAAUAGGUUCUGCACACCAAGACCAUCCCAUUGGUCAAAGUGGUCUAGCAACACCACAGCACUAAGGAGCAACCAGGGAGAGUGAAGAGUCGAUGAAACAAUUGUACCCCCACCUUUUUGUUUAAAGUAUUGUAAUGGUUUAAAUUUUGAGGAUGAAAUUUUUUUAAGAAGAGAAUAGUUGUGACAUCUUUAAAUUUCAAUUAUGUUUUCAAUUAGAUAAAUCAGGCCUUUCAUUGACGCGCCUAUAAUGCUAUUUUCUGAGCUGAUCACUCCUGAGAUAACUAGAGUAUAUGGGGAAGUCAUUAAAGGAUUUUAAAGCAAUAGACUUGAGAAUUCGACCAAGAAUCAACUACUCGAUCGUGCUCAUCUACAGAAAUCAUUACGGCACAGUAAAUAUCGAUUAGAGAUCAAAGAUAGGUUUGUUUGACUGAAAUGUGUGGCUAAACGUGGGUGAUUCCACCAAAUUAAAAAAUUCUCGUCGAUCGGCAUUAGACUGAUUUUUCUGUCAUUUUAGUACCCUAUGUCUGUAUUUAAAGCCUCGAGAUUUUCACGACAAACAAGGGUCGUCAAUGUGUCGAAUAUGUACAUUAUGACUCAAAACGAAUCGAUCACGGGUCAAUUGCACCAAAAAUUUCUAAAAGCUACCUGGUAGGCCAGGUCACGCUAAAAUCGCGUUAGAUUGAAAUUAACCGCGGAUUUGAAUCCGAUUUCAAAAAUUGAAAGUUCUACUAUGUCACAAGUCAUUUUAAGAACGUCGACUCAUCCUCCAAAUUUUUUUCUGCAAACCGAAACUUUUGGCGAAAUGUCAAAAUGGGGCCAUUUUUCAACCAAAAAAUUCAAGGGAUCGUUUUUUAUCGCGUUUUCGGGAUGCAAGUUGGUUCUAUUGGCAAUGAAAAAUUUCAAUUUGAUCGAGGACACGUCGGUGGAUUUUAUAGGGCCGAAAUUGACUUCAAUUGGAGAGAGAUCGAAUCCAAAUUGAGGGAAAAGGUCACAAAAUUCGUAGCCCAUGGUCCUCCACACCUUUGGACCAACUCAAUUGCUUCCUAAGGAAGUUUUGUGGCUAGAAAAUUGGAGAGGAAGAUAGCCCAUCCAAGUGGGACCUCUUCAAGGAGACAAGAGGAUAGAAAGGAUGAAGAGUGGCCCCAUCCAAGCUUGUUUGGCCUCCUAUCUUCCUCCACUACCUUUGCUUUCUCCAUUUCCAGACUUUAGAAGCUCUAAAAAUUUCAGAGAAAGCUGCAGCCUCCUCCCCCUGGCCGUCGAGUAGCUCGCCAAGCCCCGGAAUGCCGUCGCAGCCUGUCGUGUGCUCAACCGCAAGCCCUCGUGCGCUGCCUGCUGUCCUCACAUCCAGUCGCCUCUCUCACUUCUCCUUGUCGUCCCACGAAGUCCCUGGGUCGACGUCGAAGUCCCUGGGUUGCCGUUCAGCCACCGCUUGCCAAUGGAGUCACCCGCUUAGGCCGCUGCAGUCCGCCCACCCCUCCUUGGCCAUUUCAGCCACAACCAGCCAUUGGUUCUUGCUAGUUCGGCCAAGACCAAAAGCUGGAUCUAGUAAGCAUUUUGGACCUUCAAGGCCCAUUUCCAAGCCUUUCCCGGCCUUGCUUGGUGCCCUCGCUUUGGAGUUUGUGGCCCGCCUUCGCGUCCCCGUCGAAGUGAACUCACCGGCUCGGAAAUCUAGUGAGUUUACUCAAUAAUCUCUGCUUAUGGAGUUAAUUAUGCUUAAGGGUUGAUUAGUUUAGGUUAAGUAUGGAUUAUGUGGUUAGUUAGAAGGGAUUAACAAUUUAAUUAAUCAUUAUUGCAUGUUAGGUGGUUAAAGUAGUGCAAUUAGAGACUAGAUAAGUUGUAAUAUUUAUCUAGUUAGGUUCGGAAAUUUUCCAGGCCUAUUUUGAUAUUUAUUCAAUCUUUUUUGGCCUAAGUUGCAUUUAUUGGUUUUUAUUAAUUGAUUUUGGUAAUUAUUUAAUUAAUUAUUGUUUUUCGAAAAUUAGGUUGGGAUAACCGGUGACCAGAAUUUCAUGCUGAUUGCAUAAGUGUGAUUGGUUUAUUUAAUGGAGCGUUGGUUUGUGCAAUUUGAGUGUGAAUUGUAAUUUUGAGGUAUUUGUCACAAAAUUUAAUAAAUUUGGUAUUUAAUUAGAAAAUACCAACUGUCGGUUUACAUCGCAAAAAAUGUGUUUGUGGACUAUUGGAAUUAGUGGGAUUUUCAAAAAGGAAACUAUUGUAUUUUGGCUAAGGCCGACCGUAUACCCACAUACGAUUAUUUUUAUCGGGAAUGAUAAAAAUGGUGAAAUUCUCAGCUGGUUGGAACAGUAUAUUAUAUCAGCAUACGGGUUUUGAUAGAUCAGCUUAGCGUGAGCAGUAUACUUUAUCAGCUUAAAGUGAGCAUUAUAGGUAUACUAUAUUAGCCUGAGGGUUUUGAUAUAUCAGCUUAGCGUGAGCAAUAUACCUUAGCAGAUCCCAGUGAGCAUUGUCAGUAUACUAUAGCAUCUUGAGGGCCUUGAUAUUUCAGCUUAGAGUUAGCAGUAUACUGUUUAUCAGUUUAGAGUGAGCUAUACUAUCUAUCUUCAGCUUAGGGUGAGAAGUCUUUGAUGUGAUCAGACUUUAUAGAUAGUAUUGAAUGGAAUGACUGAGAGAUGGUAUCGAUGAUAUGGAGUCGAGUAAAUCGACUGAUCGAUGUUGAUCUGAAUUGAAAUGAUUUGAUGAUUAUUUGAAUUGUACUCACUUGCAGGAAGGAUCCAAGGCAAAGGUAAGUCCUCUGACUUGUGCUUGUGCUUAGGCAGCCCUUGGGGCAUAUUUCCAUCCUAGUUAAAGUUUAGGAGGCAAACUUGUUGAGACGUCGUCUCACCCCGUUGUGGAAUAACAUUUACAAGUCCUUAAAUGGCAGUUUCUCCCAGAGCAUUUUGGACAGCCGAAGAAGGUCACUGAGCAGGUAUCUUAUAUUCCGCUUCAUGGGAACCCAAGGGGAUGGGUCUAUGAACUUGUGAGGUCCAUGGUUUGGGUUGAUGCAGGUGUACCCCACAAGGUACCCCAUCAAUAUAGGACGUGGUAUUGUCGCAAGUGGAAUGGACAAAGAGAAGGUCCCAUACUGGAGUCGGAGGUCCCUAUGUCGGUGCUGGAGGUUGCUUCUGGAAAGGGUAUGGCUGACCCUCCGGGUGGUUUAGUGGUGGACCUGGGCCUGUCAGAUCUAAGGUUGCCGGAGUAUUCGGUUGAAGACUCGAAUGUUGAGAGGAUCUGUAGUCCUCGACCCCCCCUUUUUGUAGACCUUGUAUAUAUAUCGGCUAGUAUCGUAUAUGACUAGGUUUGAUAUAUAUAAAGGUGUGAUGUGGUUUGAAAAAACAUCAUGGCCCUACUUUUCUAUUCCAUCUUGUUGUUGUCUGGGGAUUAAUUAUUUGCUUCCGCAUGCGCAUUAAAAUGAAUGGGUCGGCGAUGCAUCCUAGGACGUCGCUAUUCAAUCAACCACCAAGGGAUGGGCACGCGCUCAGAGGAUCAGGGUGUGACAGGUAACGAUGAACAUGACUUUUGAUAUGAUCUCAAUCACAUCACGUGAUGAUUUUGUAUGGGGACCCCUUCUCAUUUUUUAUGUUGAAGUUCAUCAAGUGGCCAUUUAAUUUUGACUCUUUGUUCUCAGUUUUAGGGCCACUAUUAUCCUUUAAAAGCAAUAUUGCUCUAGGAUUCAGACCACUGUCGAUUCAGAUCAUCAAUUCUGAUUUUUAAUGCCAAAUUGUUCCUUCGUGAUUCCAUUUAUGUUCAUCUUAGCUUUAGUUUCUCUCUUUUGUCUUUUCUUUUUAGAAUGCUGUGAAAUUCCUGUUAAGUUAGUUUAGGCAUACACUCUUUGUGGUUCAAUCGGAAGUUAUGAGUAGCUUUGCUUUGAUUUCUGCACCAGAUUGUGCAAACGAUUAUAUUGCUAUAUAGUGUAAGGAUCCUUGAGACACCGUGAAGUUUGUUGAUCCUUUUGCAUUACAUGAUCCCUCCCUCGUCAAAAUAAGACGGCAAGGCCUUUUUGUUCUAGUGUGAAGCUAUCAAUUGGGUUAGGGCGAUCAUUGAACUUGUGGCAUCCUAGAAAUUCAAAGCCAAGCCUUAAGGUGUGUUAAAGUCUUUAAUUAGGUGGUAGAAUUUUCAUGGCUUAUGUUUUAGCCAUUAGUCUUUUAAUUUGAUGAUUUGUGCUUAUGAUUGUGGAAAUUUAAAUUUAAUAGAUUAAUGCUUGGCCAUAUGAUUAAAUUUCAAUGAGCAAAAAUAUCCUAAGACUUUGGCCAAGAUUGAAAAUUGAAAUUUAGAAAUAUUUAUAGAAGGAAUUUUAAAAAAAAAAGGAAAAAGGGGUUGGAUUUUCGAAAUGGGCCUUGGGCCCAUUAGACUAAAGCUUGGUGGGCCAAGCUAGUUGGCCCAUUAGAGCCCAAGAAGAGGAUUCGACCAGCCCAAGGGGAGUGGCCGGAUGGGCCUAAGCCCAAGCCCAAACCAAAUUUAAAAAAAAAGAAAACCCAAUGAGACAAGUGGCAAAUGGCAAGAGCAUGCAUUGGUGGGUUUGUAGGCAAAUCAGUCAUUACUAAUGAUGGGCUCUAGGGGGUAUAAGAGGAGAGGGGAGAGAGAGGAGUGGCCGGAUUCUUUUGGCCGAGAGAAAGGGGUGCGAGAGAGAGAGGGAAAUCGUGAGAGAGAGGGAGAGACUGAGAGGGAGAGACCGAGAGGGAGAGGAGGCGGAGCCGAGGAGGAGCCGCCGUAUGCCGCCUUGUCCCGCCAUCCGUACGCCGUCGUUGUUCAUCUUAGAGGCAAGUGGAGUCUGUAACUUCUCUUGCAUGUUUGUUUUGGUGGUUGCAUGUUCAAUUUUAGGUGUGAUUUGUGCGAAAAACCGAGGUAAGAGUUGGUUAUUUUCAAGCCGUGUGACUGUUCUUGCUCGGUUUGUGGAAGUCAGUAGCUUGUUCGAGCUUGCAUGUGUGUUUGGAGUUCGAUUUUGGCUUCGGUGUCUCAUGAAAGUUGUCGCUAACAUCUUGUACUAUAACAUACUGAAAUUUCGUGAAAAAUGAUGGAGAUUUGAGGGGUCAAAAGUUCUAUCAUACGGAGACCUUAGAUCUGCGAAAUCUUCACUGACCUCUUGUUGAUUUCUUGAUUGCAUGUUGAUUUCCGUUGAAGAUCUCACUUUGUUGUCUUCAUGAAAGUUGUAGGUAACAUCUUAAAAUACAACAUACUCAAAUUUUAAGAGAAAUGAACGAUUAUAGCCUAGUGAAUCGGCUAGAUCUUGGAGAUAAUUGAUUCUGGUGGUGUGUUCCGAGACACCCUAGACUUGAUGGACAUAAAUGGUGAUCAUAAUUUGGUUAUUUGACCUAUAUCUCUUCAUGAAACUUGUAAAGGACACCUUGGUACAUAACAUACUAAAAUUUCAGAGGAAACGAAAGAGAUUAUAUGGGUGAAAUCUAAAAAUUUCGGAGAAGUGUAUUCUGGACGACGCGGUAGUGGUUCCAGAGGUUUCGUGGGGUUGUAUAAAUUAAUCUAAAAAUAAUUUGGCUUAGAGUUCUUCACGAAAAGUGCACGAAAAUGUGUUGGCUAUCACUCUGUAAACUUUCAUAAUUUUUUAUGGCCUUAUGAGUAUUUUAAUCGAAUUUAUUUGGAAACUGUGCAAUUCUGGUCAUUAUCCGAAUAUCAUGUGCUAUUUUGUGGAAAUUGUGAAGUUAUGAGAAAUUCAAUUUGGCCAUGAAUUUUGUAUGAAAUUGUGAUCUUAUUGAUUUGUUUAGCAAUUGUUUGAAUAUUAUGAUUUUGGGAAAAUCAUAGAUAUUAAAUUUAAUAUUUAUUUAUGAAAAUAAAUAAAUAUAAUAAUAUAAUAAUAUAAUAAUUAAAUAAUAAUUAAAUAAUAAUUAAAAAAGGGGAUUAUCUUAUUGGCCAUGAAUUUCAUUGAAUUUAUUAUGCAUUGUUGUAUGAUAUUGGUGUAUGUAUGAUCAUAAAUUGUGAUGCAUCUGUGUAUCAUAUGCCAUGUAAUAAUAAGAUUAAAGGGACGGUGAAUGUGGAAAAUGAUAUGUGAGUAAGAGGAUGUGGUGGAGGAUGAGGCCGGAAUGUACAGAGAUGCAUUGCCGGAAUUCCCUGGGAGAUUCAGGAUGCCCGGAAUGUGGGGGGCCGGAAGCCUUGUCGGAGGUCUUUGCCCGAAAGGAAUGCCUCGCGAUGCCAGGAUUUGGGUGCGGGAUGCCUGGCUAGAAGGGUAAAGCCGGAAGCCCUGUCGGAGGUUUCUGCCCUAAGGGAAUGCCUCGUGAUGCUAGUUGAGAUGCGAGAUGCCUGAAAUGUGGGGGGCCGGAAGCCCGGUGGCCAUGGGAUGGCUGAGUUUGCCGGGAGCCCUGUCGGAGGUUUCUGCCCGAAGGGUUGAUGAUGAGAUUGAUGAAUGGGUGAUGUGGUGAUCAAAAUUGAAAGAUAAAGAUGAAAAUUAAACCAUGAUAUGAUAUGCAUGAUGAUAUGCAUGAUGAUGAUGAUGAUGAUGAGAUGUGAUGUGAUAUGAUGAUCACCUAUGAUAAUAUAUGCAUGAUGAUGUAUGAUGAUGAUGAGAAGUGAUGUGAUAUGAUGAUCACCCAUGAUAUGAUAUGCAUGAUGAUAUAUGCAUGAUAUGUAAGAUGAUAUAUGCAUGAUGAUGAUGACGUAUACAUGAUGAUGAUGAGAUGUUGUGUGAUAUGAUGAUCACCUAUGAUAUGAUAUGCAUGAUGAUAUAUGCAUGAUGAUGAUGGCAUAUGCAUGAUGAUGAUGAGAUGUGAUGUGAUAUGAUGAUCACCCAUGAUAUGAUAUGCAUGAUGAUAUAUGCAUGAUGAUGAUGAGAUGUGAUGUGGUAUGAUGAUCACCUAGGAUAUGGUAUGCAUGAUGAUAUGCAUGGUGAUAUGUAUGAUGAUAUGCAUGAUGCAUUGGGUUGUUAUUGGAUUUCCCUAUCUGCUGAGUGGUUGUACUCACCCCUUUUGGGGAAUAACAUUUCAGAUUAGCAGUAUGCCGCUUCCUGCUGUCUCGCGGGGGGUAUUCUAUGGUGUACCGUCUGAUGUAGAGGUUGAGUGUGCGGAGAUAGAUUGUCCCUCUGUUCCCGGACUGACUUUUAUCCGAGUGCGAUGUCUAGUGAUGUAUGAUAUCGGCUUGGCUGGGGGCCCUGUCAUACAAGAGUUCAUUUCUGUGCACGUUCGGCGGGAUGGAGCUAUGCGAGGGAUGCUGCCGCCGCCACCACCUGAUGCACCAGGUUGGGUGUGAGACCUGCGCGCGACGAGUAGGAGCUGGAUCUCUUUUUGAUGUAGAUAAUCGACCGAUGGGGGGUUUUUGUGCUUGCAUGAUCUUGAGGGUCGAGAGUCUCUUUUUGAGGUUUUAGGCUGGACAUGGCUAAGUCCUAGCUUUUCCUUGUUAUGUACCGACCCGAGAGUAGUCCCAUCUUGAAAAUAUAUGUAAAUAAUGUGUCGAUGUUUGUUUAUAAAAAUCCCGAUGUUUAGCUGGUGUGUAUUUGUAUCAUGGAUUGGUAGGGGGAUAGAUGGUGAUGUUUAAUUUACUUCCGCUAUGAGUCGCGUUGGGACCGUUUUGUUUCAAAAAAAAAAAUGUCUCUGCAAAUUAGGACGCUUGUUCGAAAGAAAAAGAAAGGUAAUAAAGUGUAAUAUCGGCGCUGGUGACGACCUGCGAAGGGUUCGGGGUGUCACAGAACUCAACGGCUAUCACUCACCGCUUGGGCUUGCUAGUUUGACUGUUUUGUGCAGCCCUUUGAUAGGAAAUGGUGUAAGAACAUCAAUCUUUAUUGAACAUUGCUAAUUUUUGCCAAAACACGAGUCGAAGAGUACUCAAAACAGAAUGCAAAUUUUAUGGACUUUCACUGACAUUGCAUGAAGACAAGAAACCGCGAGGAAGAUCGCAGACUACAACUUUACUAAUGAAAGAAGUUGAAUAAGGACCAUAAAAGAGACUUCUCUUCAUAUAGUGUUUUGGGAUCGUCUCUGAUUGAGACUGGCCUAGUUCGCUUUCAAUUUUCAUAUUGCGAAAUACAACGUUCAUGUUUCUAUCGUCUCUGAUCAUGACUGUUCAGUUAUGGACGAUGCUUUUAAGAAAACAUACUCCUUUGACUCUCAAAUUGGAGUUCUGUUGUUCCCUUCACUUUGUUUGGUCUUUCAUGUCUUCAAGUCACCUUAACUUAAGGACUUGAUCUUUCACGAGUAAAAUUUUUGAGAUGCACCCUUUGCAUGUGCACAUGCGUGCAUCUCAGGCUAAUAUACGUCAUUAAAUACGACCAUUGAUGGGUCCAACACAAGAUUUGCCGCCAAUCCAAGAAUUUUCGUGUACUAAAUGUACACGCGUCAAUAUCUCAUGCACAAACCUAUAGAUCAACUUAGGAACUCAAAAUUCAUUAAGAUACUUGUAAGCUCAACCGCGUGACUCAACAUGGUGCUUAUUAAAUUUUUUGUCAUUUCCUCAAAUGAAAGAUGGUUAAAAUGCACCGGAGAUACUUCACGUCAUGCAUUACAUCAUGCAUCAACAGUGUGAUUCUAGUACACAACAACUGCCAAGUGCUGGCGAACUAGCAUUGGCUGAGGUGGUGGCCACCGGUGCUGCACCCCUUGGUCCUCCAUGGCCAUGAUCUCCUUUGGGCUUGCCACCAUGGCCUCCUCCAUGGUCAUGUCCAUGUCCGCCGCCAGGAUCACCGUGGCCUCCACCAUGACCACCACUUGGGCCUCCAUGACCUCCACUAGGGCCAUGACUGCCACGGCCACCUCCAUGGUCAUGUCCAUGUCCACCCCUCGGCCACCAUGGCCUCUGUUUGGACUACCAUGGCCUCCACCAUGACCACCACUUGGGCCGAAAUGACCUCCAUCAAGGCCAUGACCGCUAUGGCUGUCACGCCCCGAACCAUGGGUACGUGCACAUCCUUUGGCAGUUGAUUAAAAAUGCGACGUCCCAGGACACGUCGCUGACCCAUCCUUUUUAUCUUUCAAUUAAGCAAAUGUGGAAGCGAGUUAAACAAAUCCCCGGUCAACCAAUAAACAUAGGGAUAGUAAAAACAUGCUAGCUAUUUAUUUUUUUUUCACAAACUAUGCUUAAUAUAUAUAUAUAUAUAUUAAGUCAAUCCUGUGAGUUCAUAUUUACAAGUCUGUCUAAAGAACUCGUAGGCAACCUACACCCCGGACCCCUUCGACUCGAGCUUUGGAUCCUCCACGACACCGUCUGGGAUAUUGAUGUUCAUGGGGUGACCUACCUCCCCAUCCCCUGUUCCAACGGGCAAUCCGUCAAAACCGUAAAGGGGACCCUCCUGAGUAUCAUUGUGCUCGUUAAUGAACCACGCCUUGAAGUGAUGAGGCACCAAAUGAAGGAGGUCCUCAUCGACCCAAAUCAUAGUCACCACUAACUCGCGAGUUCGAGUGGUCCUGAGGAUAGGGAAGAAGGUAGACUCUAAUUCCAUGUCCCAUGGAACCCCAAAACGGAUUGGACAUAUCUCCAUACUAAGGACCUGAAAAUAUUUAACCACGACGAGGUGAGAUAAAUCUCAACGAGUCAAUAGCCUAAACCCCGAUUAGGACGCAAAUUCGCCUCGAAGGCGGUCCUAAACACGCACCAUACAAAACUCACCUCACCUUGGUACGUUCCUACAUAUUAGCACAUUGCAUAUGCCAUUAUGAAUACAAGAAGCGUAAUUAAUAACCGGAACACAAAAUUUUCACCCUUCAAACAUUCAAUUGGGUCCUUAUUAUAAGGUAAAAUCGUUUUGACACGUCCCAUACCAUGCCAAACAGUUUUGUCCCAUAAUCAGGCGCAAUAGCAUAGCUAUUCAGGCGUGUUCUAGUUAUUACGACCUAUUAGCCACGGCCAACUCAAAAGCCAGCGGUCGUCCGGCGUAACCAGGCAUCGUCCUACUCCGUCAGGCAUGGCAACGUCUAGCACUACCUGCCUAGAUGACAUUCUAUAAAGGAGCAUCGGUUCGACCUCCACUACCUCCACUACAACUCGGCAUCUGUUGACGUGGGGCAUCCAAACUUAAUCAGGCAUUGUCCUGCAUAAACGCAUUAGGGCGGGUUCCGAUAAGUGACGAUACGAACACAUAUUUAGCCAAGGCCACCAUGCUUUGCAUUCAAAUACCUCGUUUUCAAAUGAUGAACUUAGCAGAUUUUUCUUCGUAUUAAAAAUCCUAGUAAAAUAAUCGUGCAUGGUCACGUAUUCAAAAUCGAACCGUCAAACUUGGUACACUCACAUUUUAAAACUCCACAGAUCUAUAUAGUACAAAAAAGAUUGGCGUAAAAAACCGACACUUGGCAUUUUUCCAUUUAAAAGCCUAUAAAACCGAGUUUUAUACUAAAAAUCAAUAACUAUCAUCAAGCAAUCAAUUGCACAUCAUAGCACAUAUAAGCCAUCAAACACACUUAUAAAUCCAUUCAAGAAAACAAGCGUAAAAUUCUAUGAAACGACUAAUCCGUCACUAAUUACGCUAAUUACGGUUAAUUAAAUAAAUCGUGAUUAAUUAAGUAAAUGGCAAUUAAUUAAGCUAAUCCAACUUAAUUAACCUAACCAUCGUUAACUAACCUAACCAAACUAAACUAACCCAACUAAGGUAAACUAACCUAACCAUGCUAGUUAACACUAAUCUAGGAUUAACCAAACUAAUCCUCAUUAGCGCUAAUCUAACCCCCUAAGUGCAAUUAACAACCUAAUCAAGGAUUAGGGAGUUAACUCACUGGAUUAGUACAGCGGUGGCCUCACGGUGACGAGAACUCGACGGCGACGAGAACUCGAGACAACCGCAGCUUGCACGGAAGCUCAACGGCGGUGGUGGUAGCAAGGUGGGCUCACGGCCAAGGGGGUUUAGCUGCUGGUGGUUGCUGAUCGGUGGAGGUGGCUGUUGGUGGGCUAUUGGAUGGAGACACUACUGUGAUGGACGGUGAAGCUGGCUGGCAUUGGGCUAAGUUGGUGGUGGGCGGCAGACGUAGCUAUGACAUUGGCUAGCGUGAGGAUGGGGCUUAGCUGCUGGUGCUGGACAUGUGGAUGGGCGGUGGGGAGUUGCUGGCACUUGCUGCUGGUCGGGUGGAGUUGGCAUAAUGGAAGAUGGUGGUGUAUGGGGGAUGAUGGUGAUGGUGUUGGCGUGAUGGAUAGGGGCUAGCGGCAGCAACAAGAUGAAGAAGAAGAUGCAGCUGAGGGGAAAAAAAAGAAGGAAAAUGGAGAAGAUGUGCAGCAGGGGUUCAUGCAUGAGGAGGGAGUUAGAGAGAGAGAGAAAAUGGAAGUCAAAUUAACAACCAAUCAAAAGCUUAGGAGAAAUAUCUACUCAUCAUCACAUGUGUCCCAAAGUCUUAUGCCCCUAAGUCAAGUGCCCAACCAAUUAGAAAUGAGCUCUAAUUCCUCACAAAAACUUCCUUCUUAGGCAGCAAAUUCCCCUUUUUCCUCUUGAUCCGAAUUUCCUUUAAUUUUCUUGUUUUUCCGAAAAUCGUUUUUCCACAAAAUUUUCGGACACGACGAAAAUUCUCCGAAAGAUGAGAUGACGUCCUAUAAAUGAAUUGUGACAUGCUCGAACAUCUGAUUGCCGAAACCGAAUUUAAUUUCGUGAUUAAAAUCGACCGAACGCGACUUUCAUACAAUCUAACCUACCGGGUAGCUUUUAUGGAUUUUAGCGCAUUUGACCCAUGGUUGAUAAUUUUCGAUCCACGUUUGUGCAUCUUUGAAUCGUAGAUAACUCUCGGUUGUCAUAAAUAAUAUCGUGAGGUUUCAAUUACGUGUUACGAGUAUAAUAUCGAUAGGAAAAAACCGGGUUAUUGCCGUUUGACGCGAAUAUCACAAUCGUGCGGAACCACCCACAAUUUGACUACACAAUUCCAUUGAAUCGACUUAUAUCCGUUCGCUAAUCGAUUAUAAUGGUGUCGUAUUGACCCUUGCUGAUUAUUAUAGUCGAGCAGUCGAUUUCUAAUUGAAUUCUCUAGUUUGCCGCGUUUAGAUCCCUUAACGGCUUCACCUAAUAGAUUAGUUAACUCGUGAGUGGCCAGCUCCGAGAAAAUUAUCAUAAGCGCGUCGACAAAACAACCAUUUCAUAUAUCCGAAUAAGGGCUAAAUUUCGGAAUGUCACAACUCUUCCCCUCUUAUAAAAAUUUCGUCAUCUAAAUUUAAACCAUUACAAUUCUUCUUCAAAAAGGUGGGGGUAUUGACGUCUCAUUGAUUCUUCACUUUCCCACGUGGCUCCCUCCAUUCCUUGGUGUUGCUAGACCACUUUAACCAAGGGAAUCAUCUUGCUAUGUUGCACUUGCUCUUUUCGAUCCAUUAUCUGAACCGGGCUCUCCAUGUACAACACUCUUUCAUCCAUGUCUAAUUCCUUCAAAUUCAGCACGUGGGUUGGGUUAGGUUCAUACUUCCUCAACAUCGACACGUGGAAGACGUCAUGUACUUGAGCAAGUCUCGGCAAUAAUGCAAGACGAUACGCCAAAGUCUCAAUUCGCUCCAAAAUUUUAAAGGGACCGACGUACCUCGAACUUAGCUUUCUUUUCUUGCCAAAGCGCAAAGUACCCCUUAUUGGUAACACUUUGAGGAAUACGUGUUCACUGACUUAGAACUCCAAUGGUCUACGUCACUUAUUUGCAUAACUUUUCUAAUGACUCUGAGCGGUCUUGAGUCUUUCUCGAAUAACUUUGACGACAUCGACUAACUUUUGAAUCAACUCAGGGCCCAUAAUCUUACGUUCUCCAAUUUUGUCCCAACAAACAGGAGUCCUGUAGGCUUUGCCAUACAACACUUCAAAGGGUGCCACCUUGAUACGCUGCUGAUAACUGUCGUUGUAGGCGAACUCAAUUAGAUGAAGUGGUUCCUCCCAGCUUCCUUUGAAGUCCAAUACGCAAGCUCGCAACAUGUCCUCGAGGGUUUGAAUGGUCCGCUCAAACUAGCCAUUCAUCUAUGGAUGAUAGGCCGUACUGUACUAUAGCUUCGUUCCCAAGGCAGUUUGUAAACUUUUCCAAAAAGCUGCAAUGAACUUCAGGUCUCGAUUUAACGUGAUCGUCAUUGGCACUCCAUGAAGACGAACUAUCUAUCGCACGUACAACUCAGCAUAUCUGUCUAAUAAAAAGUCCUUUCAUACGCCGAUGAAGUGAGCAGAUUUCAUCAAUUCGUUGACUACAACCCAUAUGGAAUCAUUACCUCACUGACUCCUCGGUAAUCCCAUCACAAAAACCCAUUGUGAUAUGUUGCCAUUUCCACUCGGGAAUCUCGAGAGGUUGCAAAAGUCCUCUAGGCUUGCAAUGUUUUGCUUUCACUUGCUGGCACAUUAGACACUUGGCAACAUGUCUAGCGAUAUCCGCAUUCAUACCGGUCUACCAAUAGUGUUGACACAGAUUCUGAUACAUCUUCUUACCGCCUGGAUGAAUGCUGUAACUACUACGAUGGGGUUCUAACAAGAUCUCCUCCUUAAGCUCCGCAUUGUCAGGUACGCACAAUCACCCACGAAACUUUAGUGUUCUGCUCUCGGUAACUUGAAAGUCAGGUUUCCUCUUUUCUGCAUCCUCUUACAGAAUUUUCUGAAUUUCAGGGUUCGUUGACUGCAAUGUCUUAAUCCUUAUCUGCAAUUCCGGUUCAAUUUUGAGGGUAGCCAUGAGACUUGAAAGAUGGCCUACCGCAAACUUGAAAUCUGAAUCUCGAACUCCUUUGAGUAGGAUCCACUCCUGAACCAUCAUCUGUGCAAUUGAUGACUUCUGACUUAAUGCAUCUGUGACCUUAUUGGCUUUUUUAGGAUGACAUAGGAUGUCACAAUCGUAGUCCUUGAGAAGUUCCAUCCAACGGCACUAUCUUAUGUUCAGUUCCUUCUGAGAGAAUAAGUACUUUAGGCUCUGGUGGUCCAUAAAAAUCUAGAACUUUUCUCCACAUAUGUAAUGUCUCUAAAUCUUUAGGGCAAAGAUGAUCGCUGCUAGUUCUAAGUCAUGUGCCGGAUAAUUCAACUCAUGAGGCCUCAGCUGACGGGAUGCAUAUGUAGCAACUCUUCCAUGUUGCAUUAAAACGCAGCCCAGUCCUCUGUACAACGCAUCACUAUAAAUUUCAUAUCCUCUACGACCUGACGGAAUCGUCAACAUUGGUGCGAUAGUCAACUUCUGCUUAAGCUCUUGGAAACUACGCUCGCACUUAUCUGUCCAUUCAAACUUCUCUUCCUUCUUUAGCAAUCUAGUCAGAGGCAUGGCUAGAAAAUCUUUCCAUGAAUCGUCUAUAAUAGCCUGCCAAUCCCAAGAAACUUCAAACCUCGGUCACCGUCAUUGGUCUCAGCUAAUUUAUCACAGCCUCAAUCUUGGUCGGGUCCAUGGAAAUCCCUUCGCCAUAAAUUACGUGACCAAAGAAAGCUACACGUGUUAGCCAAAAUUCACAUUUACUGAACUUAGCGUACAACUCGUGUUCUCACAAGGUCUGAAAUAAUGUCCUUGAGUGUCCUUCAUGCUCCUCUAGACUUCUCGAAUAUACCAAGAUGUCGUUGAUAAACACAAUCACGAACUAAUCCAAGUACUCCUUGAACACUCAAUUCAUUAGAUCUAUGAAAGCAACUAGGCAUUAGUCAAACCAAAAAGCAUUACGGUGAAUUCAUAAUGACCAUAACGCGUACGAAAAGCCGUCCUUGGUAUAUCCUCCUUCUUAAUCCUCAGCUGAUGGUAACCUAUCCUUAGGUCAAUCUUGGAAAAUAUUGACGCUCCCUGUAACUGAUCAAACAAGUCAUCUAUCCUUGGCAACGGAUACUUGUUCAUGAUGGUCACUUGGUUGAGUUGCCGAUAGUUGAUGCAAAGGCGUAACGAACAAUCCUUCUUCCUUACAAAUAGAAAUGGUGCUCCCCAAGGCGACGCACUAGGAUGAAUAAAUCAUUUGUCCAACAACUCCUGCAUUUGUACCUUUAGCUCUUUUAAUUUUGACAACGUCAUACGGUAAGGAGCUUUAAAAAUUGGCUCCAUCCCAAGGGCCAACUCAAUCACAAACUCGAUCUCCCUUUCUAGGGGCAAAUUGGGCAAUUCCUCAGGAAACACGUCAGAAAACUCCUGCACUACAGCAAUGUCCUCCAUCUUCGGCUCCUCAACUGAUGUAUCAACUAUGGUUGCCAAAUAACCUUGGCAACCCACCUCUAACAAACGGGUUGCCUCAAGUGACGAGAUUAAGGUAAUUGAGGGUCCUCCUCAACUUCCAAUAAACUCGAAACUUUCACUCGCUUAUGGGUUAAACUGAAUCGAUUUAUGAUAACAGUCUACGAUAGCUCGUUGCUUGGUGAGCCAAUCCAUACCAAUAAUCACAUCAAAAUCAAAUAUGGCCACCACAAUCAAAUCUAUCAUUUCCUCUCGCUCACCAAUCACUAACUUGCAACCAGGACACCCUAUUGCUAACAACAUUUUAUCCUUUAACGGGGUGCAUAUACUAAUGACUGCUUUUAACGGUUCUGGACUCAAUCUUACCAACCUAACAAAUUACUUAGCAAUAAAUGAAUGUGUGACUCCAGGGUCAAAUAAAACAUAAGCAGCAUGGUCGUUCAACGAGACCAUACCUGUAACCACGUCUUGUGAGUCCUGCACCUCCCUUCGGGUGACAGCAUACACAAUUCCUAGCAUCGGAGGCUUGUUCAAAAUACCCUAUGGUGCGUUCUGUGAUGCACUCCCUCUUGGUUGUCCUAUCUACGGCAGUGGCGCUUGUGCUCCCAUGAGCCUGCGCGGAUAGUCUUUGAUCUGGUGGCCGUGCUGACCACAUCAAUAACAAGCUGAUGUCUUAGUAAAACACGGGGCCGAUCCAUGUCUACUUCAAUAGAAAUGGCAUACACCAUUCGAGUUGGGUGCUGGCUUUCCAAUCCAACCCUUACGGUUAGAGGAAUGGAAUACCUUCCUCCUAUCAUCAGCCUUUUCCUAAACUAAUUGUUAUCUCUGUUGGGCCUGAACUGCAACCCAAAUGUGGCGGCUCACUUGUUUAGAUUCCUUUCAAUCAACUGGGCCCUCUCGUACUGCUCAUUGUAGUCCUUGAGAUUUAGUGGUACUAGCGGAUCCUUGAUCUUGGGCUGUAGACCGUCUUUGAACCUCCUUGCUCUGUCCACCAGGUCUUCAAUCAGCCUUGACGCAUACUUGGAUAACUCUACAAACUUCGCCUCGUAUUGGUCCACUGACAUCUAACCUUGACGAAGACAUUGAAACUCGGCCAUUUUCUGCUCUCUAGCGCAAUUUGAAAAGUACUUCUCAUAAAAGACCUCCAUGAAGGCAUUCCACUCUGGAACAGUACCUUUGGGAAACACUCUCCAUUUGGUGGCUUCCCACCAAGUGCUCGCAUUCCCUUGCAACUGGAAGAUAGCUAAGACUACUUUGUCUUCUUUAGAGCACCUUCGCAGUGUGAAGACUUUCUGUAGCUCUCAGAUCUAGAGGGUUGCAGCCUCAGGAUCGCCUGCUCCUGUGAACCUCAGCAGUUUCAAUUUCAUGAACUGUUCCACCAACUUAUGCAUCAGCCGUCCACCAUUCCCAUUUCCUAGUGGGACUUCAACAGGUGUGGCAGCAACAACAACAAUAGCAUUGGCGGUAGCAGUGGCAGCAAUGGGAACAGCAGCUUGAUUGUGAGCAUACUGACCAAUCAUAGUCCCCAAAAUCUCUAGCGCCUAAACAAUCCUAUCCAACCUAGGAUCGCCUGGUGUUCCUCCCCCAGUACCAGCCUAAGGUGGUACUCUUUCCCUCGCACUAGCCUGAGCCGGUGCUCUACCUCGAGCACUGAUCCUAGUCGGCGUCCUUCCCCGAGUAACAGUUGAAACUGCCCUCUUUCAAGGAGUCCUCUGCUCAGGAUGGCUCAUCUUGCAGAAUCUUUACAGAAACGUACUUUUCAAUUCUAACACAUAAUUAGAAAUUUGAGCGACUCACACAAAACAAUCAAUCAAUCACAAGUAUUAGUGUAAGGAAAAUGUAUUUCCUACUAACUAUCCCAAAACCCAUCGCACCUUAUCACUCUAGACAUUGACUAGGCUCUUAUACCACUUCGGGUGGGGAUGUCACACCCCGAACCCCGGGUACGUGCCCAUCCCUCGGCAGUCGAUUAAAAAUGCGACGUCCCUUGACACAUCGCCGACCCAUCAUUUUUAUCUUUCAAUUAAGCAUAUGCGGAAGUGAGUUAAACAAACCCCUGGUCAACCAACAAACAUAGGGAUAGUAAAAACAUGCUAGCUUUUUUUUUUUUUUUUUCACAAACUAUGCUUUAUAUAUAUAUAUAUAUAUAUAUAUAUAUCAAGUCGAUCCUACGAGUUCAUAUUUACAAGUCUGUCUCAAAAAGAACUCCUAGGCAACCUACACCCUGGACCGCCCCCCCCAACUCGAGCUUUGGAUCCUCCACGACACCGUCCGGGAUAUCGAUGUCCAUGGGGUUACAUACCUCCCCAUCCUCUGUUUCGACGGGCGGUCUAUCAAAACCCUGCAGGGGACCCUCUCGAGUAUUGUUGCGCUCGUUAAUGAAUCACGCCUUGAAGCGAUGAGGCACCAAAUGAAGGAGGCCCUCAUCGACCCAAAUCGUAGUCACCACUAACUCGCGAGUCUGGGUGGUCCCGGGGAUAGGGAAGAAGGUAGACUAUGAUUCCAUGUCCCAUGGAACCCCAAAAUGGACUUGAAGUAUCUCCAUACUAAGGACCUGAAAAUAUGUAACCAUGAUGGGGUGAGAUAAAUCUCGGCGAGUCAAUAGCCCAAACCCCAAUUAGGACACAAAUUCGCCUCGAAGGUGGUCCUAAACACACACCAUACAAAACUCACCUCGUCUUGAUAUGUCCCUGCAUUUUAGCACAUCACAUAUGCCAUUAUGAAUACAACAAGCAUAAUAACCAAAACACAUAAUUUUCACCCUUCAAACAUUCACAUGGGUCCCGAUUAUAAGGUAAAACCGUUUUGACAUGUCUCAUACCAUGCCAAAUAGUUUUGCCCCAUAAUCAAGUGCAAUAGCAUAACCAUUCAAGUGUGUUCUAGUUAUUACGACCCAUCAGCCAUGGCCACAACAGUCAUCUGGCGUAACCAGGUAUUGUCCAGCUCUGUCGGGCACGGUAACGUCUAGCACUACCCGCCUAGACAACAUUCCAUAAAGGAGCAUCAGUUCGACCUCCAUCGCAACUCGGCAUCCGUUGACAUGGGGCAUCCGAACUUAAUCAAGUAUCGUCCCGCGUAAACGCAUCAAGACAGGCUCCAAUAAGUGACCAAACGAACACAUAUUAAGCCAUGGCCACCACGCUUUGUGUUCAAAUACCUCGUUUUCAGAUGAUGAACUUGGCCGAUUUUUCUUCGUAUUAAAAAUCUUGGUAAAAUAAUUGUGUGUGGUCACGUAUUAGAAAUAGAACCAUCAAACUUGGUACACCCUCCCAUUUUAAAACUCCACGGUUUCAUAUAGUACAUAAAAGAUUGGCGUCAAAAACCAACACCUGGCAUUUUUCCAUUUAAAAGCCCAUAAAACUGACUUUUAUACUAAAAAUCAAUAACUACCCAAUUGCACAUCAUAGCACAUAUAAGCCAUAAAAAAAACACGCAUAAAUCCAUCCAAGAGAAUGAGCGUAAAAUUCUACGAAAUGGCUAAUCCGUCACUAAUUACACUAAUUAUGAUUAAUUAAUUAAAUCCCAAUUAAUUAAGUAAAUUGCGAUUAAUUAAGCUAAUGCGAUUAAUUAAGCUAAUCCAAAUUAAUCAACCUAACCAUGGUUAACUAACCUAACCAAAGUAAGCUAACCUAACUAAGGUAAACUAACCUAACCAUGCUAGUUAACGCUAAUCUUGGAUUAACCAAACUAAUCCUCAUUAGCACUAAUCUAACCCCUAAGCGCAAUUAACAGCAUAAUCAAGGCUUAGGGAAUUAACUAACCGUGCCUUACAUAGAGGCUCAGAAGCAGCGGUGGUAGCAAAGUCGGCUCAUGGCCAAGGGGGUUUGGCUGGUGGUGGCUGCUGAUCGGUGGAGGUGGCUGUUGGCAGGCGGUUGGAUGGAGACGCUACUGUGAUGGAUGGCGAAGCUGGCUGGCGUGGGGCUGAGUUGGUGGCGAGCGGUGGACGCCGCUGUGGCAUUGGGGAGUUGCUAGUGCUGGACGUGUGGACGGGCGGUGGGGAGUUGCUGGCAGUUGCUGUUGGUCCGGUGGAGUUGGCGCGGUGGAAUAUGGUGGUGUAUGGGGGAUGAUGGUGAUGGUGCUAGUGUCUUGGAUGGGGGCUGGCAGCAGCAACAAGAUGAAGAAGAAGAUGAAGCUGAGGAAAAAAAAAAGGAAAAUGGAGAAGAUGGCAGUAGGGGCUCACGCAUGAGGAGGGAAUUAGAGAGAGAGGGGGAUAAAAUGGAAGUCAAAUUAACAACCAAUCCAAAGCUUAGGAGAAAUAUCUACUCAUCAUCACAUGUGCCCCAAAGUCUCCAUGCCGAACCAAUUAGAAAUUAGCUCUAAUUCCUCACAAAAAAUUCCUUUUUGGGCAGCAAAUUCCCCUUUUUGUUCGAAAAUUGUUUUUCCGCAAAAUUUCGAACUCGACGAAAAUUCACCGAAAGAUGAGACGAUGUCCUAUAAAUAAAUUGUGACACGCUCGAAUGUCAAAUUCCCGAAACCGAAUUCAAUUUUGUUGUUAAAAUUGACCGAACGCAAUUUUAGUACGACCUAACCUACCGGGUAGCUUUUAGAGAUUUUAGUGCGUUUGACCCGUGGUGGAUAAUUUUUUAUCCACGUUUGUGCAUCUUUGAAUCAUAGAUGAUUCUCGGUUGUCAUAAUAUUGUGAGGUUUCAAUUACGUGUCCCAAGUAUAAUAUCGAUAGAAAAUCGGGUUAUUACCGUUCGACGCGAAUAUCACAAUUGUGCGGAACCACACGUAAUUUGACUCCACAAUUCCAUCGAAUCAACUUAUAUCCAUUCGCUAAUCAAUUAUAACAGUGUCGCAUUGACCCUUGCCGAUUAUUAUGGUCGACCGGUCCAUUUCUGAUCGAAUUCUCUAGUCUGCCCCAUUUAUAUCCCUUAAUAGCUUCACCUAAUAAAUUAGUUAACUCGUGAGUGGGCAGCUCCGAGUAAAAUUACCAUAAGCGCGUGGACAAAAUAACCAUUUCGUAUAUCCAAAUCAGAGGCCAAAUUUCAGGAUGUCACAAUAGCUGCCUCCAUGGUCAUGUCCGUGUCCAACACUUGGACCACCAUGGUCUCCACCUAAACCACCAUGUCCUCCACCAUGACCACUGCCUGGGCCUCCAUGGCCUCCACCGUCAAGGCUGUGCCCACUGCCACUGUGAUGGCCGUGAUUAGACAUAUCGGUUACUCUCUCUCCCCUAGCUCUAUGAAAUCUUGUUCUCCAAAGCUAUAGUAGCUAAGAUUGUCUGGUGAUUGAAGGUGGGAGAGACGGGGAAUUUUAUUGGAAAUGAUGUUGGAAUUUUUCUAUAAUAUGGGCUUACAUUAAUUAAUUAAUUUUCUAUUUAAAUAAUUGGGUUAAUGGAUAUUUCAAUAUUUGUUAAACCAUAGAGUGAUCUUAUUGAAUUGGGUUUUGGCAUCUAUUAAUAACGUGCCUAGUUGAGUAGAAAAGUGUAAGCAAUUUUGUUUAAUUGAAACCCAUAAUGGGAAUGGCUCAGUUGACACGCUGUUGAUUAGGGUUUGCUAGGUCCCCUCUCUAGCCUAUAAAAUGGUAGGUUAUGCCUAUUAGUUGCUUUAAUCCCAUUAAAAGCUACUAUACUGAAAUAGGUCAUAGAGAGGAAGAUCUGGCAUUCCAAUAGAUCUCUGAUUAUUAGAGUGAUUUAUUUUUCUUCAAGUGAAGCAAUGGCUCAAACAGGUACGCUUUAAUUCCGAUGUGCUUAUUGAUCUCGGUAUUUUACAGUCAUAUAUGGAUCCGAUUCUUCUUGAUUGAUUAGUUAUUUAUAUGAAUAAAUUUUAUACAAAUGAGACUGGGGGGAAAUCAUCUCGCCGGUAACCAAGGAGUCAUGGAGGAAGGCCGGUGGUUUGAAGUGUACACCGCCCCAUGACGACUAGCAGAUUAUGAACUUCACUGAUGAAUGGAGUUGAUGAGGGGGCAUGAGAGAAACUUUUGUUCAUAGAGGUAUAAUGUGUUUGGAUCAUGACUAAUGGAGAACGACCUAGUUCGCUUCCAUUUUCUUGUUGAUAAUCAGAAGUAAUGGGUAGCACUGUGCUCAUGUUUCUAUUGUCUCUCGUCGUGACUGGUCUGUUGACGAAUGAUGCUCGUGAAGAAACAUGCUUGUCUUCAAUCGGAAUUCUGUCUCAUUCAUUUGUAACCAAUUUUUUGAAUGAGGUUCAAGGACAUCUCAUGCACAAAGCUACAAAUACAUAUCAUAUCAGGAACCUCGUAAUUCAUUAGGAUACUUGCAAGGGCAAUUACACUACUGACUCCACAUGAUGCUUAUUAGUUUUUUAGUCCUUUUUUUCCUCAAAUACAAAAUAGUUAAAAGACACCGGAGAUAACUUUACAGCACGUAUCAACCAUGGGACACUAGCCCCCAACAACCGGCAAGCCAUGGCAGACUAGCAUCCGCCGUGGUAUUGGCCACCCCUAGGACCAUGGCCACAAGGGCCAUGCCCACCUAGUUCACCAGGUCCACCACGGCCAUGGUCUCCUCUGGGCUUGCCGCCAUGGUCAUGUUCGUAUCUACUGCCUGGACCACCAUGGCCUUUGCUAGGACCACUGUGGCUUCCGCUAGGGUCACCGCCACCAGGGCCUCCAUGGCCUCCUCCGCCACCAGGGCUGUGCCCAUCUUCGCGGUGAUGGCCGUGAUCAAACAUUUGGUGAAUCUCUCAAGGAAAUCUUGCUCUCCAAAGGGUUUUGCUAGCUGAGAUGGUGUGUGGUGAUUGACAGUAGGGGGAUAUGGGGAUUAAUAUAGGAAAAUAUAUAACUGGGCGUCUAGGGAGUCACGUGGAGGACUAGUGGCUUGGAGUGUACUGCCACACGGCGACUGAUUGGUAUCCUCCCAAGGAAUUAACUUUCCCCGCGUUUCAGCCUCUAUCCCUUAUCGCAUCCGUGUCGGCUAUUUUUCGUUUACUUGUACAAAUGCAUGUGUUAAACUGAAUUUGGAAUGUUCUAUCAAGUGGGAUUGACAUGGAGGCCAUCAAUUUUCUACGGCUCAAAUUCGGUUUUGUACCGUUCGGAGGUGAAAAUCAUGUCUUGAAUUCAAGGCCUGUUGGAAUUCAAGUCAGCGGAAGACGACUUACCGGAUUCCGAUGCGCAAAUAGCAAAUAGCCCCGGAACAAACGUUGAAUUGCUGAUGAAACACGAACAACACUUCCUCACGUUAGUCUGGAUGCAAUCACAAGGAAAACACCUGAUUUCCACGGCGUAAAUGCCGAUUGUUCUUGCAAAAGUGAAAAUGGAAUGCAUUUUUCUAUCAUGGAAAGGGAGAGAAAUUUUGGUGAGAAUGAUCUGCCAACCGGUCCAACGGUUGUGUUCAGGCGGCUUUUAUACGUCUCCCUUCGUACCCCUCCAUUAGUGUCUUUCCAUCGUAACGCAUCAAGAAGAAACGGUGCGUUCCAAUCGCACCCCAUCAUGGACGUACCAGCUAAAGUACAACAUCUCCCACUUAGACAUGAUGGGCUUGAUAGCACUCUAUCAAGAAUAUAAGGCAUUCAACAUUCCUCAACUUUACAAAACAAUUCAUACUGGCAAAUAAGCUAUGCGACCAGUGAGUACACCUGCACUUGGGAGCUUAAAUUAUGCACCUGUUAAGGAUGACAUAAUGGCUACAACCUUGAAAAGAAAUAAACAAUUGAUGUCUCACAGUACCCCAGACAUAUUUUGUUACAUCAGUCCAAGUAUACCUAUCCCUUAAAGGCUAUACUUGAUUAUUCUCAAAAGCACACCAUGUAUUUACAAUUAUAUCCGCAAUCACAUAAGGCGAUAUAAUUGGUCGACCAGUAAAUAUAUGUGAUAGAUGUAAAACAACAAUAGUCUUCCUUCGCACUCAUGUCUCUCUCAAUUUCAGAACAAUUGCUUUCCUAGACACGUCCCAUAGGCCAUAUCUAUUCUUGACCGCCCGUAACAUGCUAAAGUAGCAACAUUGAUCUUUCACUUCGAGAAUAUAGUCAAAAGUAACAUAGGACACAAAAUUGAGGUAAAUUAUAAAUUACCUCAAGGGCUCACAUGAUGAGUAAAUAGGGAUAAUUUUACUCAUCUUCCCUUAUUGUUCGUACAAUGCACAUGUAGUAUGAAUUACAUGCUAUAGUGGAUUACUCUUUCUAUAAGAGCGUAUGUCAUUUAUCAAAUAUAUCCACCAUACAGAUCUUAGCCUAAACAUAGUCACGUGCUUCUCACGUACUCAUGUUUAACCCGAGUGCUAUAUCAGCUUGCUUUCUAUAGCGCCCAAUUAAGUACUCGCAUCUAGCAUCUUUCAGGCAUACAUGAUUGUGGGAAUAUCAUGUUCGGUCUUGUUAUAAACAAAUCACAGACCUCAUCUUGACUCCAAUCAAGGCGACAUAUUUUAUGUACCAGACUUGCUCUUUAGCAUUUAUUUGUACAUAACGUCUCAUCUCAACGUGCUAACUAAAGCACUUGAGGCGAUUGCUCGUGUGAGUGAGCUAAUCAUUACCUGCUGACAUACUUUUCAAUAAUACAUGUGUGUUUGUGCUAGUCUCAUAGUGGUUUUGUACUUAUUGAUAAAACAUCAAAUCACUAAUAAAUAAACAAGUACAAUACAUAUGUUCAUAAAUACAUAAACCAAUGAUCCUCUACAAUAACAGUUCUCACAUUCUACACAAUCCUAGUGACAUCCUAUGGGUCAAGAAUAUGUCUCUAGGAAUAGCCUUCGUAAAUGGAUCAGCAACCAUUCUAUUGGUUGAAAUGUAUUGCAUGAUCACUUCUUUAUGCGCUAUAAUAUCUCUGAUGAAAUUAUUCUUUAUGUCAAUGUGUUUUGUCCUUCCAUGAUACUUGGGAUCUUUCACAUAGGCAAUGGCUGCUUGACUAUCGCAAUAAACUGUCACCGGUCUUGGAACUUUAGUCACAUUGGCUAAAUUUUCCAAGAAACGUUUUAGCCAUACUGCUUCUUGCACUGCAGCAAAACAUGCAAUAAAUUCUGCCUCCAUCGUAGACAAGACCGUGCAUGUCUGUUUCUUGCUAUUCCAAGAAAUCGCACCUCCAUUGAGCAAGAACGCAUAUCCAGAAGUCGAUUUACGCUCAUCUAGGUUUCCACCCCAAUCGGCAUCUAAAUAACCCAAUAGGCAUAAAUCAUUCCCUUGGUAACAAAGUCGAUAGUCCAUGGUGCCCUUCAAGUAUCUCAGAAUCCUCUUCACUGCUUUCCAGUGUGCUUAACCGGGAUUUGAUUGAUGUCGGCUCACCAAUCCCACGGCAUAGCAUAUGUCGAGUCGAGUACACAUCAUAGCAUACAUCAAACUUUGGACUGCACUAGCGUAAGGAACAGUUUUCAUCAUUUUAAUUUCUUCUGGAGUCUUAGGACACAUCUUAGUACUUAAGCCUUCACCUUGCAUGACAGGGGUAUCUGUGGGAUUACAAUGCUGCAUAUUGAAACGCUCAAGAAUCUUCAUAAUAUAAAACUCUUGUGAUAAAGUAAGGAGUUUCCUUGAUUGAUCUCUUUCGAUCUUAACUCUUAAUAUAUAAGCAGCUUCUCCCAUGUCCUUCAUCUCAAAAUUGGAGGACAACCAUUCUUUUAUGGUGAUAACCAAAACCUUGUCAUUUCCAGCCAACGGAAUAUCGUCCACAUAAAGUGAUAAAAUCACAAAUUUAUCUUUGGACCACUUGACAGAUACACAGUGAUCUUCUUCGAUCAUCGUGAAACCAAAAGUUAUUAUUGCUCGAUGAAAACGAAGAUACCACUGUCUAGAUGAUUGCUUAAGGCCAUAUAUUGAGCGAUGAAGCUUGCAAACUUUAUGUUCUUGACCUUUACCUAUGAAACAUAUUGGUUGUUUCAUAUAUAUUUCCUCAUCUAAUUCUCCAUUGAGAAAUGCCGUCUUUACAUCAAUUUGAUGUAAUUCAAGGUCCAAAUGUGCAACGAUGGCUAGAAUAAGCCGUAUUGAGGCAAACCUUACAACUGGUGAAAAAGUUUCCUCAUAGUCUAUACCCUCUUGUUGAGUAUAACAUUUUGCCACAAGGUGAGCCUUAUCCUUUUCAAUGGAUCCGUCCGCCCUACGCUUAAUCUUAAAGACUCAUUUGUUUCCAAUGGCCUUACGAUUGGGUGGUAGAUCAACCAAAUCCUAGACAUGGUUUGCCCUCAUUGACUCCAUCUCAUCUUCCAAAGCUUUUCUCCAUUCUUCUUUAUCAGAGGAUGAGAGAGCCUCUUGAACAGUCUUAGGCUCGGCAUCAUCUUUUUGAGCAAUCAUAAAUGCUUCCCCUUCAAUCUCAAAUCGACGACGGGGAAUACUUUUACGAUUACUUUUACGCAAUUGAAUUUCUCUUGAAUUCAAUUCAUUAGGCGAUGCAAUACUCUCACUAGGCCUUGCAUGUUGAGGUAAAUUUUCAUUUCUCUCUACAACAUCAGUGGGUGUGUUAUCAGGAUCUUCAAUCUCAUAUAAUUGGAAGUCCUUAUCAAUCUCACCUCUACUAGGAAAAUCGUUCUCCAAGAACGUGACAUCUCGUGACUCCAUUUCGGUCACACUUCCAUUAGCUUGUUCACCUAUGAACAUGUACCAUUUGGAAUGUUCAGAAUAUCUUAUAAAGAUACAUUUCUUCCCUUUAGGACCUAAUUUGCCAUAUUUAUGGGAAGAAUCAUGAAUAUAAGCUGCACAUCCCCAUGAGCAUAUACUACUCAAGUCUGGUUUCCUACCAGUCCAUAAUUCAUAAGGGGUGGAAGUGACCGAUUUUGAGGGCACUCAGUUAAGUAUAAGGGCAGCAGUCAAUAACGCAUCUCCCCAAUAGGAGAUAGGUAAAUUUGCUUGCACCAUCAUAGACCUACCAUUUCCAAUAGGGUUCUAUUCCUUCUCUCAGCUACCCAAUUUUGUUGUGGAGUACCAGGAAUAGUCAAUUGUCAUACAAUUCCUUUUUCAUCACAAAGAGCCUUGAAUUACUUCGAUAGAUACUCACGUCCACGAUCGGUUCUCAAUGCCUUUAUUGUUUUGUUCAACUGAUUCUCUACCAUCGCUAUAUAUCGUUUAAAGCAGUCUAAUGCUUAUGACUUAUGGGAGAUCAUAAAGACAUAACCGAAACGUGUGAAGUCAUCUAUGAAAGUGAUGAAAUAUGAGGCUCCAUGCUUUGCCCUCACAUUCAAAGGACCACAAAUGUUAGAAUGUAUGAGAUGCAAUGGAAAUUCAGUUCUAGUCCCUUUACCGAAUGGUUUUCUAGUUACUUUUCCCGCUAGACAAUGUUCACAUACGGAUAGACUAACAAAGUGAGUGACCUAAAAGGCCUUCUCUAGCUAAUAUUUGCAUUCUUUGCAAUCCAAUGUGACCUAAUCUAGCAUGCCAAGUACUUGCAUCAAUCUCAACAUUACUAGAAGAUGCAAUUAAAGAAAAACAACCAUCGACAUUAAUAUUGUACUGAUCAUAGUCAAUGUCUAACACCAUAAAACCAUUCGAUACAUGACCUGAACCAUAAUAAAUUGUUCCAAACAAAAUGUCAACACAAUCACCAUGGAAAUUCAAUACAUAACCUAAGCUAAGAAGAACAACUACAGAGACCAAGUUUCGUCGAAUAUCUAGAGCAUAAAGGACAUCAUGCAGGAACAGGUUUCGACCACCAAGUAAGAUUAAUUUACAUGUGCUGAUACCCUUCACUUCAACUCUUGAGUUAUUCCCAACAUAUAUCCAUCUUCUUCCAAGCGGUAUCCGACGAUACUCCACAAAUGCUUCUCGGUCUCUAGCUACGUGGUCUGUUGCUCCUGAGUCUAUAGUCCACAUUGGAUGAGAUUCAGCAAGCAUUACAGUACUAGAAACAAAAGCAUUACUCAAACUAAUGGAGUAAUAAGGUACCUUUUUCGGCUCAGUACAUUCACGAGCAAAGUGACCCAUCUUGCCACAAUUGUAGCACUCCAUCUUGGCCUUGUCCUUCUUCCCACCACGUUUCUUGCGUUGGAAGGUCUUAGCCCUCUUGGAUGCCUUAUCAGUCUUCUUCCCUUUGUUGUUGAAUUGAGAAUUCCUUUUGCGCUUGAAGCCCGAAGCCUUGCGUGAACUCGAUUCAGCAACAUAAGCAUGGGUAGAGGAUCUCGCAACCUCUAGGCGCUCAUCCUCUAAUUCCAAAUGACGCGCAAUAUCAUCAAAGUGACAAUAUUCUCAGUAUGUGUCAUAUUGAUCUUCAUAUGCUCUCAAUUGUCAGGAAGAGACCUUAUAACAGCCUGAACUUGCUGUUCAUAAGUAAGGGAGUGACCUGCUGACUUCAGCUCACAGAUUAUGUUUGACAUCUCCCGAAGAUGCUGCCUCAUCGUUACAUUUGGGCGCUUUCGGAAUGUGUCAAACUUGAUGGUGAGUCUCCUUAGUUUAGUGGCAGAUGUACCACCAAACUUAUCUUUCAAAGGAACCCACAUAGCUUGAGCUUUAUCAUAACUUUCGAACUCACACAUAAGAUCAUCUUGCAUACUGCUUAGCAACGUGAUGCGAGCAAUGCUAUUUUUCUUUUUCCAAGCUUAAUAAGCUUCCAGAUCUCUCCUGUGUUGAGCUGAAGUUCCAUGCUCACGUUCAUCUAUGGUAUGGUUGAGGGUUUCCAAAACCUCUUACUCCUCAAGGAUGUACUGAACAUUUCGGUGCCAAAUAUCAUAAUUGUCACCGUUCAGCUUCUCACCCUCAUUGAGAUCAGCCACAAUGGUCUUGGAUGCCGAAGCCAUAAUCAAUUGCUAUAACACAUUGACAUAAUAAAUGCAGAAUCAAUACUAGCACACUUUCCAAAGUAACACACAUAUUUAAUUUGCAGCAAAGACAAACUAAAUUAAUGAUAAUUCAACAAAAGACACAAAAGCAAAAGUUCACUGUGUUCCCAAUCAACUUCCAUGUACAAUUGUUCUAUUAUCAUUAAUUAGUUUAAUUUGCGCAAAUUUUAAGUCAUUGGUGAGAACUCCCUCGAAUUCUACCAACCUACGAACUCCCACUAGGAAAAAAUAAUUACAUGAUCUUAUGUAAUUUCUACAUUUUUCCAUUAACACAAAAAACAUAGCAUGAUAAUAACCAACAUAUAAACAACAAUCAUGCUUCAACUAUAAUUAAAAUCGCAAUUCAACAUGUAAUGGAUUUCCUCCCAUUGUUCGAAUUUUCUAGCAACUAGAAAAUUGCAAUUAUAUUAAAAAUAUAUACAUGAUAUCAUCGAACCAAGCUCUACACAACAUAUAUGACAUCAUUUGCACACAAGUUAGCUAUUGUAUUUCCUAAACCAUAAGAAAGUACAAGCUACAAAAUGAAUAAAUUAUGCUUUAAACCCCAAAAAAUACACGUACAUAGGGUUUUCUACGCAUUUUCAUACAUUUAUAAAAUUCAACUAUCAAAAAUAACUAUACCAUAGUGCAUAUCACAUUCAUACGAACCAAAUGCUAAUGACCAUGCUCCAAUCGGAGCUAGCACGCCCCCCCACGUGCCGCCUGAGUGCGCGGUGCGUGUGGUGCACACGCCAGCGAGCCAAACGGCUCCUGGCCAGUCUGACCGGUCCGACCGGUUUGACUGCUGGACUGGUUGACCGGUUCAACCCAUUGACCGGUCAACGUAUGGGUCGGGUCGGGUCGGGUCGGGUCGGGUCGGGUCGGGUCGGGUCAACCUCGGGUCAGGUCGGGUCAUGGGUUGGUUCGCUGGCUUUCGCCGGCGUUGACGUCAUCCAAGCAAUUACCGACCGUUUGAUGACGUCAUCCGUGACGUCAGCACGCGUUGCUUCGUCGACGCGCACAUGAUGCUCACACAUCAGUUCGCUUACGCCAGUGUGUGACGUCACGCACCGAUUCACUGGCGUGCCCAACGCGUCAGGCGCGUGGCGCCCACGCGCAGUGGCUUCUGGCCGCGCGUGUGGGUGCAUCCGAUGUCCUCCGGCCGCGCUCGAACCACCGUCGGACUCGUCUCAACGAGUAUUUUCACCAUGUAUAUUCAAAAGUUGAUUUUGGCCAAAAAAAAUAUUUUGAAAUUGGCGAAAAUCGCACGGAUGCACGCAACCCCGAACCCGUUCUUCACUUUGGUUUGAUUUUUCGACGAUUCACAUAUCAAUUUCAAUUAAUAAACAUCCAACCAGUAUAUAUAUCAUACUCUUGAUCCCGAUAUCAAAUGAUGAACUGGAAAAUUCGAUGAAAAAUAAUGUAGAAACCACGACCAGGCUCUGAUACCAAUGUUGGAAUUCAAGUCGGCGGGAGACGACUUACCGGAUUCCAAUGCGCAAACAGUAAAUAGCCCCAAAACGAACGUUGAAUUGCCGAUGAAACAUGAACAACACUUCCUCACGUUAGUCUGGAUGCAAUCACAAGGAAAACACCCUAUUUCCACAGCGUAAAUGCCGAUUGUUCUUGCAAAAGUGAAAAUGGAAUACCUUCUUCUUCUUUGGAAAUGGAGAGAAAAUUUUGGUGCGAAUGAUCUGCUAACCGGUCCAACGGUUGUGUUCGGGGGGCUUUUAUACGUCUCCCUUCAUACCCCUCCAUUAGUGUCUUUCCAUCGUAACGCAUCAAGACGAAACGGUGCGUUCCAAUCGCACCCCAUCAUGGACGUACCAACUAAAGUACAACAAGGCCCAUUUGAGGAAUAAGAAGAAGUUCACUGAACAAAACAUAAAUGAUUUGGGAGUGGCUCCUUUUACCUAUUUGUCCGCAAAUACAAUAAUAAGACAGGAAGAAGACAUUGCUCAACCAAUAUCAAGAAGGUCCGUUGAUAACGAUGCUUGUGAAGAAUCAUGCUUCUUUGAACCUUAAAUUGGAAUUCUGUUUCUUUCAUUUGUAACCUGUUUAUGGAAUUAGGUUCUAGAACAUCUCAUGCACAAAGCUAUAGAUCAUAUUAGGAAUAUCGAAAUUCAUUAGGAUGCUUGCAAGCUCAAGUACAUGACUGACUCCACUUGGUGCUUAUUAGUUUGUUGUCCUUUAUUUUUUUCCCUCGAUUAUAAGAUAGUUAAAAGGCACCAGAGUCAAUUUACAUCACAUAUAAAAGGACUCUACUCCCCCACUACCAGCAAGCGGUGGCGGACUAGCCUCAACGCACGGUCUAGCCUCCUGCAUUUACAUGUCCGCCCUUUCCGCCCGAUCCACUUGAUCCAGCAAAGAUACUCCAGCGUGCUGAACCUGCUCCGCCGUUGGCAUUUCCGCCCCCUGCUCCAUCUACACGUCCGCCCUCUCCACCCGAUCCACUUGAUCCACCAAAGAUAUUCCCGCAUGCUGAACCUGCUCCGCCGUUGGCAUUUCCUGGCGGAUAUACCAGAUUUCCUCCAGGCUGGCCGCCAUGGCCAGGUCCAUAGCCGCCUGCGCCGGGGCCGUACCCGCCUCCGCCGGGGCCGUACCCACCUCCGCCGGGGCCGUACCAGCCUCCACCGGGGCCGUACCCACCUCCACUAGGGCCGUACCAGCCUCCACCUGGGCCGUACCCGCCUCCGCCUCCAACAGGACCGUACCCGCCUCCACCAGGGCCAUACCCGCCUCCACCAGGGCCGUACCCGCCUCCGCCGGGAUAGCCGUGCUCAGACAUUUUGAUGACCCUCACUUAAGGAAAUAUUGCCCUGCAAAGGUGUGUUGCCAGCUGAGAUGGUGUGCGGUGAUCGAAAGCAGGGAACACGGGGAUUUAUAUAGGAAAAUAUUUGACCGGGUGACCAAGGAGUCUCGUGGAGGAGGACCAGUGACUUGGAGUGUACUGCCACGCGGCGACUGACUGGCAUCGUCCUAAGGAGUUAAUGUUCCCCGCGUUUCAGCCACUAUCCAUUAUCGCGUGCGCGUCGGCCAUUUUUCGUUUUCUUGUACAGACUUAGCGCGUGUAUUAAACUGAAUUUGGACCAUUUUAUCAAGUGGGAUUGACAUGGAGGCCUUCAAUUUUCUACGGCUCGAAUUCGGUUUCGUACCGUCCGGAGGUGAAAAUCAUGCCUUGAAUUCAAGGCCCAUUUGAGGAAUAAGAAGUUCACUGAGCAAAACAUAAAUGAUUUGGGCGUGGCUCCUGCUACCUAUUUGUCCGCAAAUACAAUAAUAAGAGAGGAAGAAGACAUUGCUCAACCAAUGUCAAGAAGGUCCUGUCCAAUCUUCAUUAGCUUUUGCACCUAAAUUUUCUACCAAGUCUUUCCAAUUCAGUACGCGUUUCCAAAUUAAGUGUUUGGUUUGCAUGUAUAUUCCACAUCGAAGGAUUGGGAUACGAAGUCUAACUCUAGUCCCUAAAACAACCCGUUCUAGAUCCCCACCACAAAAACUUUGGAUGUGAUUGCUUGAGGAAAACUGAAGUUCAUAUAAUACAUCACACAUCCAAUUCCUUACUAAUAGACAUAUAAGCGUUUGUUCCUUCGUAGAACGACACGUGCUAUUCUUCUUUGUUUAUCCACUCUCUCCUUUUUUUUUUCUUGAGCAAAACUAAAGUUCAUUUAAUACAUUACGCAUCCAAUUCCUUGCCGAUAGACAGAUAAGGGUUCAUUCCUUUGUAAAAACUACGCGUGCUAUUCUUCUUCCUUUGUCCACUUUCUCUUUUUUUCCUUUUUUAUUUUCUUUUUUGUGAAAAUGCUUCUUAUUUAGGAAAUUAUCAGCAUGAGACUUUAAAAAAAAAAUAGAUUAUUCAAAUUUGAAUCUUAAAAGUGGUAAAAGGAUCCAAUGUCUCAAAUUUGCUUGAGUCAUUAGUAAAACAGAAAAAGAAAAAAAAAUUGAUCACUAGCAAUGCACCUUUUCUUCCUUAUCUGGGAUAGCUAUGCGGAUUGCAUCUCCCAACCAUUUACUUAUAAAAAAAUAAAGAAUCUUUCUUUUUUUCUUCCACUAUUUAGAUUAUGUCAAAUCCGCUUUUCAAAAGGAGAGAGGCAACAAACUCUUCUGAAUGAUAGAGACACGUUUAAGAUCAUCGUUGAUUUGUGGAGAAAAUAUAUGGAUGUGAUUGCUUGAGAAAAAGUGAAGUUCAUUCAAUACAUCUCGUAUCCAAUUCCUUGCCGAUAGAUAGAUAACGGUUCAUUCCUUCAUAAAAACGACACAUGCUAUUCUUCUUCCAUUAUCCACUCUCUUUUUUCUAUUUUCUUUUUCUUUUCUUUUUUGUGAAAAUGCUCCUUAAUUUAGGAAAUUAUUAGCUUGAGACCGAUCAAAUUGUUUUCAGAUUAUUCGAAUUUGAAUCUUCCAAGUGGUAAAAGGAUCCAAUGUCUCAAAUUUGCUUGAGUCAUUAGUAAAACAGGAAAAAAAAAAUUGAUCACUGACCAUGCACCUUUUCUUCCUCAUUCGGGAUAGUUAUGCAGAUUGCAUCUCCCAUCCAUUUUACUCAUGACAAAAGAAAGAAUAUUUCUCUUUUUCUUUCACUAUUUGGAUUAUGCCAAAUCAGCUUUUCAAAAGGAGAGAGGCAACGCACUUUUCUGAACGAUAGAGACACGUUUGAGAUUAUUGUUGAUUUGUGGAGAAAACAAAUGGAUGUGAUUGCUUGAGGAAAACUAAAGUUCAUUUAAUACAUUACGCAUCCAAUUCCUUGCCGAUAGAUAGAUAAGGGUUCAUUCCUUUGUAAAAACGACUAGUGCUAGUCUUCUUCCUUUAUCCAUUCUCUUUUUUUUUUUUCCUUUUUUUUCUUUUUUGUAAAAAUGCUUCUUAUUUAGGAAAUUAUCAGCAUGAGACUUUAAAAAAAAAUAGAUUAUUCAAAUUUGAAUCUUAAAAGUGGUAAAAGGAUCCAAUGUCUCAAAUUUGCUUGAGUCAUUAGUAAAACAGAAAAAGAAGAAAAAAUUUUGAUCACUGACCAUGCACCUUUUCUUCCUUAUGUGGGAUAAUUAUGAGGAUUGCAUCUCCCAUCCAUUUUACUUAUAAAAAAAUAAAGAAUCUUUCUUUUUUUUCUUUCACUAUUUGGAUUAUGUCAAAUCAGCUUUUCAAAAGGAGAGAGGCAACCAACUCUUCUGAACGAUGGAGACACGUGGAGCACCAGUGAGUCAAAAGGUGAUUGAAGGUGGGGAGAUAUGGGGAUUUAUAUAGGAAAAUAUCUGACUGGGCGUCCAGGGAGUCACGUGGAGGACCAGUGGCUUGGAGUGUACUGCCACACGGCGACUGAUUGGUAUCCUCCCAAGGAGUUAACGUUCCCCGCGUUUCAGCCUCUAUCCCUUAUCGCAUCCGCGUCCGCUAUUUUUCGUUCUCAUGUACAAACGCGUGUAUUAAACUGAAUUUGGACUGUUCUAUCAAGUGGGAUUGACAUGGAGGCCAUCAAUUUUCUACGGCUCGAAUUCGGUUUUGUACCGUCCGGAGGUGAAAAUCGAGUCUUGAAUUCAAGGCCCAUUUGAGGAAUAAGAAGAAGUUCACUGAACAAAACAUAAAUGAUUUGGGAGUGGCUCCUUUUACCUAUUUGUCCGCAAAUACAAUAAUAAGACAGGAAGAAGACAUUGCUCAACCAAUGUCAAGAAGGUCCGUUGAUAACGAUGCUUGUGAAGAAUCAUGCUUCUUUGAACCUUCAAUUGGAAUUCUGUUUCUUUCAUUUGUAACCUGUUUAUGGAAUUAGGUUCAAGAACAUCUCAUGCACAAAGCUAUAGAUAAUAUUAGGAAUAUCGAAAUUCAUUAGGAUGCUUGCAAGCUCAAGUACAUGACUGACUCCACUUGGUGCUUAUUAGUUUGUUGUCCUUUAUUUUUUUCCCUCGAAUAUAAGAUAGUUAUAAGGCACCAGAGUCAAUUUACAUCACAUAUCAAAGGACUCUACUCCCCCACGACCAGCAAGCGGUGACGGACUAGCCUCAACGCACGGUGUAGCCGCCCCCAUAACCAGACCCCCCUGCUGCAUUUACAUGUCCGCCCGCUCCGCCCGAUCCACUUGAUCCACCAAAGAUACUCCAGCGUGCUGAACCUGCUCCGCCAUUGGCAUUUCAGGCCUGUCCACCUGAUCCACCAGUGCCUUGCGCAUAUACCACAUUUCCUCCAGGCUGGCCGCCAUGGUCAGGUCCAUAGCCGCCUCUGCCGGGGCCGUACCCACCUCCGCUGGGGCCGUACCCACCUCCACCUGGGCCGUACCCGCCUCCGCCUCAAACAGGGCCGUACCCGCCUCCGCUGGGAUAGCCGCGCUCAGACAUUUUGGUGUCCCUCACUUAAGGAAAUAUUGCCCUGCAAAGGUGUGUUGCCAGCUGAGAUGGUGUGCGGUGAUCGAAAGCAGGGAACACGGGGAUUUAUAUAGGAAAAUAUUUGACCGGGUGACCAAGGAGUCUCGUGGAGGAGGACCAGUGGCUUGGAGUGUACUGCCACGCGGCGAUUGACUGGCAUCGUCCUAAGGAGUUAAUGUUCCCCGCGUUUCAGCCACUAUCCAUUAUCGCGUGCGCGUCGGCCAUUUUUCGUUUUCUUGUACAGACUUAGCGCGUGUAUUAAACUGAAUUUGGACCAUUUUAUCAAGUGGGAUUGACAUGGAGGCC
rnacentral:lncRNA from 1 species